UUCGGGUUGUAAAGCUCUUUCGGCCGGGAAGAUAAUGACGGUACCUGAAGAAUAAGCUGCGGCUAACUACAUGCCACCAGCCGCGGUAAUACGUAGGGGGCAAGCGUUGUUCGGAGUUACUGGGCGUAAAGGGUGCGUAAGCGGCUUUCUAAGUUUGGUGUGAAAUCUCCCGGCUCAACUCGGAGGGUGCCCUGAAGACUGAGGGGCUUGAGUGUGGGAGAGGAGGUGGAAUUCCCGGUGUAGCGGUGAAAUGCGUAUAUAUCAGGAGGAACACCUGUGGUGUAAGCGGCUUUCUGGACCAUUACUGACGCUGAGGCACGAAAGCGUGGGGAGCAAACAGGAUUAAAUACCCUGGUAGUCCACGCCCUAAACGAUGCAUAUUUGGUGUGGGCCAUUCAUUUG
rnacentral:rRNA from 1 species